UACGGAGGGUGCAAGCGUUGUCCGGAUUUAUUGGGUUUAAAGGGUACGUAGGUGGCCUUAUAAGUCAGUGGUGAAAUGCUGCAGCUUAACUGUAGCACUGCCAUUGAUACUGUAAGGCUUGAGUGUCGUUGAGGCAGGCGGAAUUUAUGGUGUAGCGGUGAAAUGCAUAGAUACCAUAAAGAACACCGAUAGCGAAGGCA
rnacentral:rRNA from 1 species